UUCUCUGCUGUGACCCGCUACCGGAGCCCGGCUUGGCCUCCUCAAUCCUCUAUUCUGAAAUGGUGUUCCCUCUUAUCUUCAUGUAUUUGUUGCAAAUGUUACCUCUUCCCUGGGGACUUAAAUUUCCUCGGUUUUUCUAGGGAGUUGGUUCCAGAGCCACUGACUUUAGGCAGUCUUCCUUCUGAAUCCACACAGUACCUGGUGCCUCUCUGGGGCAGCACAGGAUGCCUUGUUGCGGUUAGGUCAUUUUGCGUUUCCAGGCUGGUGAGACCAGCCUGGGGCUGGAUGGAGAGGAGGAAGCAUGUCUAGAGUUAAUUCCUGUGAGGAGUGCCGCUGAAGUUGAGGCAAACUUGAUUUUAAGAAAACAGGACGGCUUUUGAAAAUGAACUUCCAGUAAUUUCAGAGAGAAGCCGGAGCGUUCGUCUCCACGCGAGGCUGAGUUGUUUUGUUAAACGUGUCUCCGCGCCUGGAAGGAAGGGGACCAAGCAGACAAAUAUCUUCGUAUGAAUUAAAAUGCAUCGAUUCUCAGAGGGAAAUGAUGGUCCCUGUUAAAAGCUUCUUGGAGAUGUUAGUGUGCAGAAGCUUGAAUAAAACCUUUGUU
rnacentral:sRNA from 1 species